UACGUAGGGGGCAAGCGUUGUCCGGAUUAUUGGGCGUAAAGAGCUCGUAGGCGGUGUGUCGCGUCGGCCGUGAAAACUUGGGGCUUAACUCUGAGCGUGCGGUCGAUACGGGCAUCACUUGAGUUCGGCAGGGGAGACUGGAAUUCCUGGUGUAGCGGUGAAAUGCGCAGAUAUCAGGAGGAACACCGGUGGCGAAGGCGGGACUCUGGGCCGAUACUGACGCUGAGGAGCGAAAGCGUGGGGAGCAAACAGG
rnacentral:rRNA from 1 species